UACAGAGGCCUCAAGCGUUGUUCGGAUUCAUUGGGCGUAAAGGGUGCGUAGGUGGCGCGGUAAGUCGGGUGUGAAAUCUCGGAGCUUAACUCCGAAAUUGCAUUCGAUACUGCCGUGCUCGAGGACUGGAGAGGAGACUGGAAUUCAUGGUGUAGCAGUGAAAUGCGUAGAGAUCAUGAGGAAGACCAGUGGCGAAGGCGGGUCUCUGGACAGUUCCUGACACUGAAGCACGAAGGCCAGGGGAGCAAACGGG
rnacentral:rRNA from 1 species